rnacentral:tRNA from 1 species
GGCUUCGUAGCUCAGCUGCUGGAGCGCUCGCCGCGUUAAGGCAUAGUGUUUCUGUGGCUGGUUCGAAUCCAGUCGAAGCAC